CCGGCAAUCAAAAUUAAAAUCCGAAUUUGAUGGAUUUUCAAAAUUCAUUACUCGACCCCUGAAAUCCGAAUAUGAAAUAAUCAUUUUUUUAACCAUAUUUCAAAACAUAUUAUACUAAAAUAUAAUCUUUUUAAAAUAAAUUCAAAUUUUUUAUUAAAAACUUCAUAUACAUUAUAUAAGGUAAAAUAAAUUAGGAUUCAAGUCGGGUUGGGAGUUAGACCACGUACAUGCAACAUCAACAUUCGAAUUCGAAUUUGGGAAACUUUUUUAUUUUAUAUCCUUAUUCGAAACCAUAUAUAUCCGUGCAAUAUUAAAUAAGCCCGCCUCAUUUGCAUUCGAAUUCAUAUUCAGAUUUGAAUAACG
rnacentral:lncRNA from 1 species